rnacentral:rRNA from 1 species
UAGGGAAUCUUCGGCAAUGGGGGGAACCCUGACCGAGCAACGCCGCGUGAGUGAAGAAGGUUUUCGGAUCGUAAAGCUCUGUUGUUAAGGAAGAACGAGUGUGAGAAUGGAAAGUUCAUGCUGUGACGGUACUUAACCAGAAAGGGACGGCUAACUACGUGCCAGCAGCCGCGGUAAUACGUAGGUCCCGAGCGUUGUCCGGAUUUAUUGGGCGUAAAGCGAGCGCAGGCGGUUAAUUAAGUCUGAUGUGAAAGCCCCCGGCUCAACCGGGGAGGGUCAUUGGAAACUGGUUGACUUGAGUGCAGAAGAGGAGAGUGGAAUUCCAUGUGUAGCGGUGAAAUGCAUAGAUAUAUGGAGGAACACCAGUGGCGAAGGCGACUCUCUGGUCUGUAACUGACGCUGAGGCUCGAAAGCGUGGGUAGCAAACAGG